UGGGGAAUAUUGGACAAUGGGCGAAAGCCUGAUCCAGCCAUGCCGCGUGUGUGAAGAAGGUCUUCGGAUUGUAAAGCACUUUAAGUUGGGAGGAAGGGCAGUAAGCUAAUACCUUGCUGUUUUGACGUUACCGACAGAAUAAGCACCGGCUAACUCUGUGCCAGCAGCCGCGGUAAUACAGAGGGUGCAAGCGUUAAUCGGAAUCACUGGGCGUAAAGCGCGCGUAGGUGGUUCGUUAAGUUGGAUGUGAAAUCCCCGGGCUCAACCUGGGAACUGCAUCCAAAACUGGCGAGCUAGAGUAUGGUAGAGGGUGGUGGAAUUUCCUGUGUAGCGGUGAAAUGCGUAGAUAUAGGAAGGAACACCAGUGGCGAAGGCGACCACCUGGACUGAUACUGACACUGAGGUGCGAAAGCGUGGGGAGCAAACAGG
rnacentral:rRNA from 1 species